UCCCAGUAGCUCUCUGGGGUGCAGUUGAUU
rnacentral:piRNA from 2 species